CAACUAGUUGGGACCAGGCAUAAAGCAUGGCUACCUGAAAGCCAGCUUGGAGUCUGAUUCUACUCAGAUUUCCAUCUUGCCAAGUCUGAACCACUCAGGCUUUUCCCUUGUCAUCUGUGAUCUUGUUAUGCCUGACUGAAUGCUGAAAAACUUCUGCUCCGUUCCUAUGCCUGCUGGCUAAGUUGGUUUGUCAAGACGUGAUGCUACCAUUGGUGUGAAAGGCCAUCAUUAUGAAGAUGACAGUCAACUUUAUUUCUCAUUUUCACAUAAUCCAAGAAGGCAGUGGAGAUUCUGAAUGAGCAUCUGGAUAGAUGGGAGCUAAUGGCACUGAAACGGAAUCCAAACAAGUCUUCAUCAGACCUGGGAUCACUAACAAAAGAAAAUAUUAUACAAAAAUAUCAGGACAUUCAGACACCACCAACCCUACCUCUCCUGUACUUCAACAUGCUGUGGCCUUGCUAUUGAUCUCCCUGCAGAACUCUAACAAAACUGAAGUAAUCGGGAAAUUGUGAUUAUGUUGCUGAAAAGGACGAAAGAAGACUUAUGCCAUUUGAAACCCCACUGCUCUGAGAUUUCUCUUUUGUCCACUGUACUUUUUGCAUAGCCCUUAACCUUAAGGAGUUAUUGUUUUUUAAAAAAUCAUGUUGACGUUAAAAAGUAAUCUCUCAGAA